rnacentral:rRNA from 1 species
GACGAACGCUGGCGGCGUGCCUAAUACAUGCAAGUAGAACGCUGAAGAGAGGAGCUUGCUCUUCUUGGAUGAGUUGCGCACGGGUGAGUAACGCGUAGGUAACCUGCCUUGUAGCGGGGGAUAACUAUUGGAAACGAUAGCUAAUACCGCAUAACAAUGGAUGACACAUGUCAUUUAUUUGAAAGGGGCAAUUGCUCCACUACAAGAUGGACCUGCGUUGUAUUAGCUAGUAGGUGAGGUAACGGCUCACCUAGGCGACGAUACAUAGCCGACCUGAGAGGGUGAUCGGCCACACUGGGACUGAGACACGGCCCAGACUCCUACGGGAGGCAGCAGUAGGGAAUCUUCGGCAAUGGGGGCAACCCUGACCGAGCAACGCCGCGUGAGUGAAGAAGGGUUUCGGAUCGUAAAGCUCUGUUGUAAGUCAAGAACGAGUGUGAGAGUGGAAAGUUCACACUGUGACGGUAGCUUACCAGAAAGGGACGGCUAACUACGUG